rnacentral:rRNA from 1 species
UACGUAGGGGGCAAGCGUUAUCCGGAAUUAUUGGGCGUAAAGAGUACGUAGGUGGCAACCUAAGCGCAGGGUUUAAGGCGAUGGCUCAACCAUUGUUCGCCCUGCGAACUGGGAUGCUUGAGUGCAGGAGAGGAAAGCGGAAUUCCUAGUGUAGCGGUGAAAUGCGUAGAUAUUAGGAGGAACACCAGUGGCGAAGGCGGCUUUCUGGACUGUAACUGACACUGAGGUACGAAAGCGUGGGGAGCAAACAGG